GACGAACGCUGGCGGCGUGCUUAACACAUGCAAGUCGAACGGUGAAGCGCCUUCCUUUUUGGUGGGUGUGGAUGAGUGGCGAACGGGUGAGUAACACGUGAGUAACCUGCCCCCUUCUUCUGGAUAACCGCAUGAAAGUGUGGCUAAUACGGGAUAUUCUGGGUCUGUCGCAUGAUGGGUCUGGGAAAGAUAUUGUUUCGGUGGGGGAUGGGCUCGCGGCCUAUCAGCUUGUUGGUGGGGUGAUGGCCUACCAAGGCGGUGACGGGUAGCCGGCCUGAGAGGGUGGACGGUCACACUGGGAAGAAGACACGGCGCAGACUCCGACGGGAGGCAGCAGGGGGGAAUAUGGCACAAUGGGCGCAAGCCUGAUGCAGCGACGCCGCGGGAGGGAUGGAGGCCGGCGGGUUGUGAACCUCUUUCGCCAGUGAAGCAGGCCUGCCUCGUUUGUGGGUGGGUUGACGGUAGCUGGAUAAGAAGCGCCGGCUAACUACGUG
rnacentral:rRNA from 1 species